AGGGAUGUGGGGGGCGGGCCUAACACAUGCAAGUCGAGCGGAUGACGGGAGCUUGCUCCUUGAUUCAGCGGCGGACGGGUGAGUAAUGCCUAGGAAUCUGCCUGGUAGUGGGGGACAACGUUUCGAAAGGGACGCUAAUACCGCAUACGUCCUACGGGAGAAAGCAGGGGACCUUCGGGCCUUGCGCUAUCAGAUGAGCCUAGGUCGGAUUAGCUAGUUGGUGGGGUAAUGGCUCACCAAGGCGACGAUCCGUAACUGGUCUGAGAGGAUGAUCAGUCACACUGGAACUGAGACACGGUCCAGACUCCUACGGGAGGCAGCAUUGGGGAAUAUUGGACUAUGGUUGAAAGCUUGCUCUAGCC
rnacentral:rRNA from 1 species